CACGCCGUAAACGAUCAAUACUAGGUGUGCGGGGACUGACCCCUUGCGUGCCGGAGUUAACACAAUAAGUAUUGCACCUGGGGAGUACGAUCGCAAGGUUGAAACUCAAAGGAAUUGACGGGGGCCCGCACAAGCGGUGGAGCAUGUGGUUUAAUUCGAAGCAACGCGAAGAACCUUACCAGGUCUUGACAUCCCGAUGACCCCUCUAGAGAUAGAGUUUUCCCUUCGGGGACAUUGGUGACAGGUGG
rnacentral:rRNA from 1 species